GUGCGCGCUGAUCGCCUGGCGUCAGCCCUCCUUCCUCUCUCAGCAGAUGCGGGGACCAGAGGAUGCGCGGGCUGCGGGGGCUGCGCCGAGCCAGCCUGAAGUUGCUGUUCUGUUCACCUGCCCCAAUCCUCGGUGCUUUGGCCUCCUCCUUAGCAGCUGCCAGAGCCAUUGGACAAGGAGAGAGUGCCUUGGCCCUCUGUAGAGCCUCACUCUCGAGGGCAACAGGCUGGGAAAGAGAGUUUCCUGAGGACCAGGGGUCUGUGCAGAGGCUGCGAGGAGAAGCCAUGACAGCUCAGGACUACAGCUCCCAACCAGCUUUUUCUGGCCUGUGUCAAAGCUGGGCCUCUCUUGGACUUGGAAGAAGAAAUGUUUGAUUGCUGUGCAGGGUACUUGGUUUUGAUGUGUGGCAUUUCUUCUAUUAUAAAAUGCAAGCCAUUUUUUCUUGUUUUUAUAAGCCUUAAAAUGCAGAGCAGGGCUUCUUAGAAUAAAAAUAUAUGGCAUAGAA